ensembl:snoRNA
UUGCACAGCGAACACCCAGGGACGCUACCAUGGUUCUCCCUGGUCUCAUGUCUGUGCUACAGCGACUCUGGUCUUUUUCCUCUGCAUUAGGAGAGUUUCAGUCUCCCCUACAUGUAUUCAGAUGAUCAGAACAAAC